AAAGAGGCGGGGCAGGCGACACGUAAGCCCGCUCAGCGAUAAAGAGGGGGAAUGGUUCGCGGGUGAAUGGAUUCGGAGAAACGGAGUAUGCGACAUGUAACUCCUUUGAAAACUCAAGUUUUAAUAUAGGCUAAAUUAUAGAAAAUCCCCCUGUAAUAACUCGCUUUUUCACUUUCCCCCUCUGACAUUUAAAAACCUACACUUUGCCCCCUUGUAAAAUGAAAAGUGUGCACUUCACCCCCUACCGUUAGGGUUCCGUUAUAAAAUAUUUUUUUAUGCUGAAAAUACCCUUCUGCCCUCUUCCUUGUUGCUUCGCCUCCCUCCGGCUCACCGCCUCGCCGCCUCGUCGUCCUCUACUGCCUCGUCCUCGCCCACAUCGCCUUCGCCCUCCUCCGCCGCCUCGCCUUCGCCCUCGUUGCCCUUGCCUACCUCUCCAUCAACACCCACCUCGAUUUCCUCCCUAUUAUUGUCGAAAUCGGGGGGCGGCGAGGGUGCAGGAGGAGAAGAGGAGCAGGUGCAGAAGGAAAUGGAGAGAAAUCGCGACCGAUUGAGAUGAGAAUCGCGGCCGAUCGAAGAGGCGGCUGAGGAAGAUGAGGAAGAAGACAAAAAUGACGAGGGGCAAAAUGGUCAUUUUACACACCGUAACCCCCCUGUGAACAUUUUUCAUUUUACAAGGGGGCAAAGUGUAGGUUUUUAAAUGUCAGGGGGGAAAAGUAAAAAAACGAGUUAUUAUAGGGGGUUUUCUGUAAUUUAGCCUUUAAUAUAUCUAUUGAUUGUUAUUUUACAAUUUCAAUUCAUAUUUUGCGUCAGAAGCACCAUAAAUAUUAAUUAUUUUCAAAAAAUUAAUAAUUGCCCGAGCCGAUUUUGAUUCGGACCGAAAUUUUUGCCUACUCGUAGUCACGAACCAAAUAAAGUGGGCUCGGGCUUUUUUUGCAAAUAGCCCCCUGAGCAAUUUUUAUUUUAAAAAUAGCCCUAUCAAAAUUAAAAUUACAAAAAUGGCCCUGUCCCUGCCACGCAGGCGCCACGUCAGCGCCACGCGGGUAUGGCUGGGGCCAGGGUAUUAAGUUGAACACGGUGAAUCAUUCACCGUGUCUAAACACGGUGAGCCAUUCACCGUGUUUAGUACGUAUUUUUUGUAUAUUGAAAAGUGGAAUAAGGAGUAGGGAUGUCAAUAGGUAUGGAUAUCCGAAAUAUUAUCCGAAUUCAAACCCGAAUAAAUUAUAUAUAUAUAUAUAUACACGUAAUUUAUUUUUAUUUAUUUAUACAAUAUAUAAAAUAUUUAAUAAUUUUUAUUCCUUAGAUCUUCAUCCAACGGUAUAGAUUUUUAAAACCCGCUGGUUUCAGGUUCGGGUUUCGAGUUUUUGGUCGGAUAUGAAUAUAUUUUAUAUAUUGUAUAAAUAAAUAAAAAUAAAUUAUGUAUAUAUAUAUAUA
rnacentral:lncRNA from 1 species